rnacentral:rRNA from 1 species
UGGGGAAUCUUGCACAAUGGGCGAAAGCCUGAUGCAGCGACGCCGCGUGCGGGAUGAAGGCCUUCGGGUUGUAAACCGCUUUCAGCAGGGACGAAAUUGACGGUACCUGCAGAAGAAGCCCCGGCCAACUACGUGCCAGCAGCCGCGGUAAUACGUAGGGGGCGAGCGUUGUCCGGAUUUAUUGGGCGUAAAGAGCUCGUAGGCGGUUCGGUAAGUCGGAUGUGAAAUCUCCACGCUCAACGUGGAGGGGCCAUUCGAUACUGCCGUGACUCGAGUACGGUAGAGGAGUGUGGAAUUCCCGGUGUAGCGGUGAAAUGCGCAGAGAUCGGGAGGAACACCCGUAGCGAAGGCGGCACUCUGGGCCGAUACUGACGCUGAGGAGCGAAAGCGUGGGGAGCAAAC